rnacentral:rRNA from 1 species
UACAGAGGUCUCGAGCGUUGUUCGGAUUCAUUGGGCGUAAAGGGUGCGUAGGUGGCGCUGUAAGUCGGGUGUGAAAUCCUGGGGCUUAACCCCGGAACUGCAUUCGAUACUGCAGUGCUUGAGGACUGGAGAGGAGACUGGAAUUCAUGGUGUAGCAGUGAAAUGCGUAGAGAUCAUGAGGAAGACCAGUGGCGAAGGCGGGUCUCUGGACAGUUCCUGACACUGAGACACGAAGGCCAGGGGAGCAAACGGG